rnacentral:tRNA from 2 species
GGGCCCCUCGUUCAACGGUCAGGACACCUGGCUGGCAGUCAGGUAAUAGGAGUUCGAUUCCCCUGGGGUCCACAA